GGGUUGUGAGGUUAAGCGAACAAGCGUACACGGUGGAUGCCCUGGCAGUCAGAGGCGAUGAAGGACGUGCUAAUCUGCGAAAAGCGCCGGUAAGGUGAUAUGAACCGUUAUAACCGGCGAUGUCCGAAUGGGGAAACCCGGUGCACUUCGGUGCAUCAUCGUUAG
rnacentral:rRNA from 1 species